rnacentral:rRNA from 1 species
AUGAGACUACAGAGCUGCAUGGCUCAGUGGUCAAAGGAGCAUCCGCUGAAAGAUGGACUCGCGUCCGAUUAGAUAGUAGGCGGGGUAACGGCCCGACCUAGUCGACGAUCGGUAGCCGGACUGGAGAGGUUGAACGGCCACCAUUGGGACUGAGACACGGCCCAGACUCCUACGGGAGGCAGCAUG